rnacentral:rRNA from 1 species
UACGUAGGGGGCAAGCGUUGUCCGGAAUCAUUGGGCGUAAAGAGCGUGUAGGCGGCCCGAUAAGUCCGCUGUGAAAGUCCAGGGCUCAACCCUGGGAUGCCGGUGGAUACUGUCGAGCUCGAGUCCGGAAGAGGAGUGUGGAAUUCCCGGUGUAGCGGUGGAAUGCGUAGAGAUCGGGAAGAACAUCAGUGGCGAAGGCGGCCUGCUGGGCUGUUGCUGACGCUGAGGCGCGACAGCGUGGGGAGCAAACAGG